UACAAAGUUCUAAAACAAAAUGGUCGGUUAAGACACAAAUAAGAAGCUAAGUAGAAACCACUUACGGGAGAUGAACGGAAAAGUUCGCCGGAAAAAUUCGCCGGAGGUUCGGCCGGAUUUUGGCACUAUGAACUUACUUGGGCAGCCCUUACAAAGGCUUGGAAGUGGUUGUGGUUGAGCUCGGUUAGUGUAAGAAAGCUUGUAGAUCAAAACCUUGAAUAUAUGAAUAUAUAUUUGAGAGAGAGAGGGUUUUGGUGGAGAAGUAUAUUUGAGAGAGAAUAUAAACUUGUAUUAAAAAGUAUACGUUUGAUUACUCCAAGUUAAGUUAAUUUGGGGAGUAAUCAAAAGAAGUCUUUCUUUUUAAGCUUGAGAGCUUAGGACUUCACUAGUAUUCCUUUUCUUUUAGAUCAACUCUUUGUGAUCGAAGAAUACUUGAUUUACAAAUCUCCGUUUUGAGAUAUAUUUAAAGAUCUCGGAGAUUGUAUAAUAUCCUCUCUUUUAACUUGAUACACAAGCCUUUGAGGAUAUAAGAAAGCUUUCACGAACAAAGUUCGGAAUAUUCGAUAUCUUUCCCGAGAUAUAUAAAGUUAAGUUAGUGCGGGAUCGAAUAAGCUUUCUUUUGCUUCUUCAAAGUUUAGCAAGGAUAAUAACAACGAUAAAAAUGUUGCUAAACUUUUCUUUUGAAGCUUUCGUGUAUAAAAGCCGUUAGAAUCGUAUCUUUCUCUUCCACACAACGCUAAGGCGAUAGAUGGAAGUACGAUCUUGCUUUUAUAACGAAUUUGACUCUAUGUCAAAUAUCUCCCUUAUUGGAGAUAAGUACUCUUGAACUUUAGUUCAAAUCAAGUGAGCACUUUCACGGAUUUUUGUUUGUUCUUUUUGUUCUCUUUAAAAGAGAAAGAUAUAUCUUUGAUAUCUUGAACAAAUCCGGAUCUUUUGGUGUCUUUUGGGGAACCUUUUAGAAGAACUUGUAAGAUGAAGAGAAGUUGGGUACAAAGUUCUAAAACAAAAUGGUCGGUUAAGACACAAAUAAGAAGCUAAGUAGAAACCACUUACGGGAGAUGAACGGAAAAGUUCGCCGGAAAAAUUCGCCGGAGGUUCGGCCGGAUUUUGGCACUAUGAACUUACUUGGGCAGCCCUUACAAAGGCUUGGAAGUGGUUGUGGUUGAGCUCGGUUAGUGUAAGAAAGCUUGUAGAUCAAAACCUUGAAUAUAUGAAUAUAUAUUUGAGAGAGAGAAGGUUUUGGUGGAGAAGUAUAUUUGAGAGAGAAUAUAAACUUGUAUUUCUUGAUAACUUCUCAAAAUCUCAGCACUUUC
rnacentral:lncRNA from 1 species